GCACGCCUGUCGGGACCCGAAAGAUGGUGAACUAUGCCUGAGCGGGGCGAAGCCAGAGGAAACUCUGGUGGAGGCUCGAAGCGAUACUGACGUGCAAAUCCACCGUCUGACUUGGGUAUAGGGGCGAAAGACUAAUCGAACCAUCUAGUAGCUGGUUCCCUCCGAAGUUUCCCUCAGGAUAGCUGGAGCCCAUUACGAGUUCUAUCAGGUAAAGCCAAUGAUUAGAGGCAUUGGGGACGC
rnacentral:ncRNA from 1 species